rnacentral:rRNA from 1 species
UACGGGGGGGGGCAAGCGUUGUUCGGAAUUACUGGGCGUAAAGGGCCAGUAGGCGGCCAACUAAGUCCGACGUGAAAUCCCCAGGCUUAACCUGGGAACUGCGUCGGAUACUGGAUGGCUUGAAUUCGGGAGAGGGAUGCAGAAUUCCAGGUGUAGCGGUGAAAUGCGUAGAUAUCUGGAGGAAUACCGGUGGCGAAGGCGGCAUCCUGGACCGACAUUGACGCUGAACGGUGAAAGCUAGGGGAGCAAACGGG